rnacentral:misc_RNA from 1 species
GAAAUGCGAUAAGUAAUGUGAAUUGCAGAAUUCAGUGAAUCAUCGAAUCUUUGAACGGACAUUGCGCCCGCCAGUAUUCUGGCGGGCAUGCCUGUUCGAGCGUCAUUUCAACCAUCAAGCCCCCGGCUUGUGUUGGGGACCUGCGGCUGCCCGCAGGCCCUGAAAAACAGUGGCGGGCUCGCUGUCACACCGAGCGUAGUAGCAUACAUUCUCGCUCAGGGCGUGCUGCGGGUUCCGGCCGUUAAACGACCUUCAUAACCCAAGGUUGACCUCGGAUCAGGUAGGAAGACCCGCUGAACUUAAGC